UCAUAUUGUAAACAGGAAGGUACAUAGCUUUAAAGCCUAUGUUGAAAAGGGAAGCCAGUGAAAAUCUGGCACGGUGCCCGCCACUGUAAAAGGGAGUUCUAUUACAACGUGUCACUGAAUUUUUUUGGGAAGACGUAGUAGAACGAUUACCUUGAGUCAGGAGACCUGCCUUAACUGUUUGCUUCAU
rnacentral:ncRNA from 2 species